CGCCUCUUGCACCCAUAUAAGAGGUCCAGCCUGCCCAGUGACUAAGUUCAACGGCCGCGGUAUCCUAACCGUGCGAAGGUAGCGUAAUCACUUGUUCUUUAAAUGAGGACUAGUAUGAAUGGCACCACGAGGGUUAUGCUGUCUCCUUUUUCUAAUCAAUGAAACUGAUCUCCCCGUGAAGAAGCGGGGAUGUAAAUAUAAGACGAGAAGACCCUAUGGAGCUUUAAACCAUGUAACACUGGCUUUCACAUUACAUCUUUCAGAAUUAUCAUAAUUACUCUAGCCACUAUGAUUACUAGUUUUAGGUUGGGGUGACCACGGAGCAAAAAUUAACCUCCAUGUUGAACGGAGCUUUUCCUGAGCCCUAAGCCACGACUUUAAGCACUAACAAAUUAACAUUAAUUGACCCAAUAUUUUGAUCAACGAACCAAGUUACCCUAGGGAUAACAGCGCA
rnacentral:rRNA from 1 species